UGUUUGUUUCAGUGGCUCAAUUCUUUCCAAUGACUCAACCAGUAGACUUUAAUGACCGUGGAAGUCUUAGAGCGCCAACUGUCAGUCACCUAACUUAUCUUUGCAGAAAAUGAACCUGACUUUACUUUUGGAUCCCUGGAUUCCCCAAACAGCCUCUUUCUUUUUUGGUAGUCCAAAGGCAACUUCCACCCAAUUAACACAGUCUGCAUCGACAGAGUUCAGGGACAACAGGGCCUCACAAGUUGCUUACUCAGUGUGUGCCCUACUUGACUGUUAAUGUGGGUCAGACAUCGAUCAUUCCAAGGCAACAGAUUGCCUGCAAUACUGAAUACUUGAUCAAAUUAAUGAAUUUCCCAAUCAAUGUUUAAACACCUCUCCUCCCAGCGAGGACGCAAAUGUCCAUCAACCAAAGCCAGCGAUUUAAUUCUGUCAUGCUCAAUAACAUGAUAAGUCAGUGCUGAUCAGUGUUGGUCUUUUUUCUCUUCUUUCUAGACGCCUCCCCUAAUGAGCUGAUUGCACACCUGAAUAUUCUCAAGAUGUGUUUCCUCUCUGCAAUGACUGUCGUGUUUUUAUUGGAAGCAGUCGAACAUUUCUGCAAGCAGGGAAAAUGAUGUCUGCCGCGUGAAUACAAUAUUCUCCUCAACCCUUGGCAAACAUGAAACACAAAAUGAAAAAGGAGAGAAAACAAAAAGGGACUGCUGGGUGUUCAGUGCGGCUCCUCUCAACAGACCAACCUUUGACAAACAACAUCACACGUCCGGAGUCAUCAGAGGAAACUGAAAUCAAUCCUGAUUUAGCAGUCCAUUCACCACUGUGGGCGAAUGUUGUAAAUACAGUUUCCUCUCUCACUAUCUCAUAUUUCAUUUCUGAAAGUUUCUCAUAGUUUCAAGCUGCUUAUUCUGCUUUUACACACUGUCCUCUAUAGCGUCUAAACACUGAUGCUUUGCCGAUUUCCAAAUGCACAUCAAAGCUAUUUAUCUCUGCAGCACUGCAGCAUGCUGACUAGCGUGUUUUUUGGAUUUGUACAUUGUGUCAGUGGUUGGUAGCCUGCACAUUUUAGUCAUUUCUCCCGGGUUUAUGUGUCAAAAUGAAUGCUUUAUGUAUGAUCCACCUGUCAAACAGAUACAGUGAUCAGCUCAACCUCCGCACAGGCCUAAUCCUCACAAAACAGGAUUACCGCCUUUGCCAGCGCUUGCUUGUGUGAUAGUAUUGUUUAUGCUUGCUGUGUGAGUGUGGCGAGAUCUUGAUUCACAGGUUGGAGGAAGUUCAUUUUAAAUUUAGGCCUGUUUUCACUGCCAAGAGUAACAACUACUGCCAGUGGUAAUGACCAUUAAAUUUAAGGCAACAUGAUGCAUUUACAAU
rnacentral:lncRNA from 1 species